UACGGGGGGGGCAAGCGUUGUUCGGAAUUACUGGGCGUAAAGGGCUCGUAGGCGGCCAACUAAGUCGGAUGUGAAAUCCCCGGGCUUAACCUGGGAAUGGCAUUUGGGACUGCAAGGCUGGAGUGUGGCAGAGGAGACUGGAAUUCCUGGUGUAGCAGUGAAAUGCGUAGAUAUCAGGAGGAAUACCGAUGGCGAAGGCAGGUCUCUGGGCUGACACUGACGCUCAUGCACGAAAGCGUGGGGAGCAAACAGG
rnacentral:rRNA from 1 species